GAUGAACGCUGGCGGUAUGCUUAACACAUGCAAGUCGAACGGACUCUUCGGAGUUAGUGGCGGACGGGUGAGUAACGCGUGAGAAUCUGGCUUUGGGUUCGGGACAACCACUGGAAACGGUGGCUAAUACCGGAUGUGCCGAGAGGUAAAAGAGAAAUUGCCUGAAGAUGAGCUCGCGUCUGAUUAGCUAGUUGGUGAGGUAAAGGCUCACCAAGGCAGCGAUCAGUAGCUGGUCUGAGAGGAUGACCAGCCACACUGGGACUGAGACACGGCCCAGACUCCUACGGGAGGCAGCAGUGGGGAAUUUUCCGCAAUGGGCGAAAGCCUGACGGAGCAAUACCGCGUGAGGGAAGAAGGCUCUUGGGUUGUAAACCUCUUUUCUUAGGGAAGAACAAAAUGACGGUGCCUAAGGAAUCAGCAUCGGCUAACUCCGUG
rnacentral:rRNA from 1 species